UCGGCCAUGCUCAAGCUUACUCCUGCUCAGCUGCGGGCUGCUGAUCCGCCGCUGCGCUCUGGAGGAAGGCAAGGUAGCCGCCUUGCAGGCUCCUCGCGUUCUCGUACCCCUGCACGUACGCCCAAAUCACAAGUAAGAUACUAUCUCUGAAACUAAACAUAAGACGUUUUUGCAGUUCAAGCUAGAUCGUUUAGGUAGGGUCUUGAUUACCGCGUUUACGAGGUCUGCGGUCGCAAGCUUGGAUCGCACGCCAGUGCGGCAACCCUACAAAAGCAUAAAAUUGGAUUAAAACACAAAAAGUAAUUACGUCUAGUAAGCAGAGUUUGUUAAUUACCACAACCAAGUGUUGUUCCUUCCCAUAGAGCGCGCCUACCUCCUCCACGAAUUUUGGGUUCUUCUCCUUGCCUUGAGAUGAUCAGAAAGGAGGAGGACAAACACUGGUAUCAGCGAUGGAUCUAAGGAAAAAUUAAAUAUUUUGCUGAUCAGGGCAAGGGAUUGGCUGGUUAAUUAAGCAGCUGACCCUGGGGAGUGACGGCGAGGUAGUAGGAGACGUUGACGGCGCCGGCGGCGUGGUCGUUCUCAAAGUCUUCCGGCAACCUCACGUCGAGGUAGGCGUGGCCGCCAGAGCUCAGGAGCGCGCGGGCUUGGCCGGCGUCGACGGUCGGGGUGGCGCUGACCUGCUCCUCCUUUCCGGCAGACGCCAUUACUGACGAUGACUGGGAGAUGGUGUAUGAUCUUGCCCUGCCGAAUUAACGAGCCUGCUCCUCAUUAUCCUCCUUUAUAUUGCAAAUUGGCAGGGCCAGGAGAGGAUUGAUCGGGAUAUUAGCAUAUUGUCGAAAGUCUUCGCCCGGCUUAGCUUAGUUCAUUGUGUCGUCAUUUUUUGCUUAGUUAACUACCAAUUGGCCACAGGUGUAUAGAAGAAAACAGAGCUGAAUGUGCAUUUGUCCAGCCUCAGUUGUCAGCAACGACAGCAACAUGCAUGCAUGUGCAUGUGCUGCCAGGAUGGAUUGGGUUGACUUUUCUUAAUUCUUAUGCCUAAGAAAUUUGCAUUUUUGUUUGCUCUGACUAAGAAAUUUACAAUUAUUCCUUUUGUCGUGCAGAGACCAUCUGACUUUAGACGGCCACACGCAUUACUGUUCAUCCCCGAGAGAGAAAACACAUAGUACAAUCUGUACCUACAUACUCCC
rnacentral:lncRNA from 1 species